rnacentral:rRNA from 1 species
UACAGAGGGUGCGAGCGUUGUUCGGAAUUAUUGGGCGUAAAGGGCGCGUAGGCGGUGCGGUAAGUCACCUGUGAAAUCUCCCGGCUCAACCGGGAGCUUGCAGGCGAAACUGCCGUGCUGGAGUGUGGGAGAGGUGCGUGGAAUUCCCGGUGUAGCGGUGAAAAUGCGUAGAUAUCGGGAGGAACACCUGUGGCGAAAGCGGCGCACUGGACCACAACUGACGCUGAGGCGCGAAAAGCUAGGGGGAGCAAAACAGG